rnacentral:misc_RNA from 1 species
CCGAGUUUACAACUCCCAAACCCCAGUGUGAACGUUACCAAACCGUUGCCUCGGCGGGAUCUCUGCCCCGGGCGCGUCGCAGCCCCGGAUCCCACGGCGCCCGCCGGAGGACCAACCAAACGCUCCUUUUUUUUUCUUUCUUUCCUUCUUCCCCAUCGGGUCGCGAUCCUCGCGGCUCUGGGAAAGGAUUUUCUUGCUCUGAGCCUUUCUCGGCGACCCUUCGCGGGCGUCUCGAAAAUGAAUCA